rnacentral:rRNA from 1 species
UGGGGAAUCUUGCGCAAUGGGCGAAAGCCUGACGCAGCGACGCCGCGUGCGGGAUGACGGCCUUCGGGUUGUGAAAUCCGCUUUCAGCAGGGACGAGGCCGCAAGGUGACGGUACCUGCAGAAGAAGCCCCGGCUAACUACGUGCCAGCAGCCGCGGUAAUACGUAGGGGGCGAGCGUUAUCCGGAUUCAUUGGGCGUAAAGCGCGCGUAGGCGGCCAGUUAGGUCGGAGUCAAAUUUCGGGGCUCAACCCCGUCUCGCUCCCGAUACCGGCUGGCUUGAGUGUGGUAGGGGAAGGCGGAAUUCCCGGUGUAGCGGUGGAAUGCGCAGAUAUCGGGUGGAACACCGGUGGCGAAGGCGGCCCUCUGGGCCCGAGACCGACGCUGAGGCGCGAAAGCUGGGGGAGCGAACAGGAUUAGAUACC